ensembl:ncRNA B0344.4 ncRNA
UUGCCGCCAGCAGGGGUCGAACCUGCGACCUUGGGCUUAUUAGACCCACGCUCUAACCGACUGAGCUAUGGCGGCUG